rnacentral:misc_RNA from 1 species
UACGCCUCUCGGGCCUGCUACAAC